GAUGAACGCUGGCGGCGUGCUUAACACAUGCAAGUCGAACGGAAAGGCCAGUGCUUGCACUGGUACUCGAGUGGCGAACGGGUGAGUAACACGUGGGUGAUCUGCCCUGCACUUCGGGAUAAGCCUGGGAAACUGGGUCUAAUACCGGAUAGGACAAUGGUUUGGAUGCCGUUGUGGAAAGUUUUUUCGGUGUGGGAUGAGCUCGCGGCCUAUCAGCUUGUUGGUGGGGUAAUGGCCUACCAAGGCGUCGACGGGUAGCCGGCCUGAGAGGGUGUACGGCAACAUGGGGAAGGAGAGACGACCCAGACUCCUACGGGGGGCAGCAGGGGGGGGUAGUGCACAAGGUGCGCGUGUAGGAUGAGGCGACGCCGCGGGGGGAAGGGCGGUGGUGGGGUUGUAAACACAUGUCGCUAGGGAAGAAGAGGAGGCGGGAGGGUACGUGGUGAAGAAGAACCGGCUAACUACAUG
rnacentral:rRNA from 1 species